GCGGAGGAAAAGAAACCAACAGGGAUUGCCUCAGUAACGGCGAGUGAAGCGGCAAAAGCUCAAAUUUGAAACCCUCGGGAUUGUAAUUUGAAGAUUUGGCAUUGGAGAAAGCUAACCCAAGUUGCUUGGAAUAGUACGUCAUAGAGGGUGACAACCCCGUCUGGCUAACCGUUCUCCAUGUAUUGCCUUAUCAAAGAGUCGAGUUGUUUGGGAAUGCAGCUCAAAGUGGGUGGUAAACUCCAUCUAAAGCUAAAUACUGGUGAGAGACCGAUAGCGAACAAGUACUGUGAAGGAAAGGUGAAAAGAACUUUGAAAAGAGAGUGAAAUAGUAUGUGAAAUUGUUGAUAGGGAAGGAAAUGAGUGGAGAGUGGCCGAGGUUUCAGCCGCCCCUCGUGGGCGGUGUACUGCCGACGCCGAGUCAUCGAUAGCGAGACGAGGGUUACAAAUGGGAGCGCCUUUCGGGCGUUCUCCCCUAACCCUCCACACUGCCACCGACGACAUAAUCCACCCAUUUCACCCGUCUUGAACCCCGGACCACAA
rnacentral:rRNA from 1 species